AUGGAGAACAGUAUGAAGAAACAUGCCGACAAUCUCAUGUGUUUUUUCGAGGAGAUUAGUUCUAGGCUAUCACAGUUGGAGUUAUAUUGCUACAAUCUUGACAAAUCUAUCGGAGAAAUCAGAUCUGAUUUAAAUCGUGAUCAUGAGGAGCAAGAUUCAAAGCUCAAAUCUCUUGAAAAGCAUCUUCAGGAAGUUAAUCGGUCAGUACAAAUUUUGAGAGACAAGCAAGAGUUAGCUGAGACUCAGAAAGAACUAGCCAAGCUUUAA